CGGGAGCCUAUGAAGGUUAAC
rnacentral:miRNA from 1 species